UACCAACAUGAAGCUGCUCGCAGCAACUGUGCUACUCCUCACCAUCUGCAGCCUUGAAGGUCUUACUUUGAAAAGUCAAAGGAGCAGCUGACACCCCUGAUCAAGAAGGCUGGAACGGAACUGGUUAACUUCUUGAGCUAUUUCGUGGAACUUGGAACACAGCCUGCCACCCAGUGAAGUGUCCAGACCAUUGUCUUCCAACCCCAGCUGGCCUCUAGAACACCCACUGGCCAGUCCUAGAGCUCCUGUCCCUACCCACUCUU
rnacentral:lncRNA from 1 species